rnacentral:rRNA from 2 species
AAAUUGAAGAGUUUGAUCAUGGCUCAGAUUGAACGCUGGCGGCAGGCCUAACACAUGCAAGUCGAACGGUAACAGGAAGCAGCUUGCUGCUUUGCUGACGAGUGGCGGACGGGUGAGUAAUGUCUGGGAAACUGCCUGAUGGAGGGGGAUAACUACUGGAAACGGUGGCUAAUACCGCAUAACGUCGCAAGACCAAAGAGGGGGACCUUCGGGCCUCUUGCCAUCAGAUGUGCCCAGAUGGGAUUAGCUUGUUGGUGAGGUAACGGCUCACCAAGGCGACGAUCCCUAGCUGGUCUGAGAGGAUGACCAGCCACACUGGAACUGAGACACGGUCCAGACUCCUACGGGAGGCAGCAGUGGGGAAUAUUGCACAAUGGGCGCAAGCCUGAUGCAGCCAUGCCGCGUGUAUGAAGAAGGCCUUCGGGUUGUAAAGUACUUUCAGCGGGGAGGAAGGUGUUGU